GCCCCGGUGGCUCACUGGUCUAAGCGCGCGCACCAUAAAGGCUGUGUCCUUACAGACUGGUUCGAUUCCAGCCCGGGUCA